rnacentral:piRNA from 1 species
UUCUGAUGAUUCUGGAUUCCCCUCUUUG